rnacentral:rRNA from 1 species
AAUUCGAUGCAAACCGAAGAACCUUACCUGGGUUGUACAUGUACGUGUUACUGAUCUGAGAGGAGAGGGACCCAUGCCUUCGGUAUGGGAGCGUACACAGGUGCUGCAUAGCUGUCGUCAGCUCGUGUCGUGAGAUGUUGGGUUAAGUCCCGCAACGAGCGCAACCCUGCAUCAGUUGCCAUCGGUGAGGCCGGGCACUCUGGAUGGACUGCCGGCGACAAGCCGGAGGAAGGUGGGGAUGACGUCAAGUCAUCAUGGCCCUUACGGCCUGGGCUACACACGUGCUACAAUGGUCGGUACAAAGGGUUGCCAAGCCGCGAGGUGGAGCUAAUCCCAUAAAACCGAUCGUAGUCCGGAUCGCAGUCUGCAACUCGACUGCGUGAAGUCGGAAUCGCUAGUAAUCGUGAAUCAGAAUGUCACGGUGAAUACGUUCCCGGGCCUU